ACCUCAAUUGGAACACAUGGCUUUAUAGAGCCUGCAUUGUACACACUGUGUGUGCACCUCAGACUUGCACAGCGCAUACAAUGUGGAUGCUAUAUGAGUCACAAUCAACCGCAACAUCU
rnacentral:pre_miRNA from 14 species